rnacentral:sRNA from 1 species
AGGCCCCUGCGCGGUUAGUGAUGAGCGAAACUAUUCUUGAACCAACACCUAUUUGAUGGGUUCCGGGUCCCGCUCUCCUGAGCAGCCUUACGGCGAGCGAUGGAGAGUGGGUAGGGCCCCAGCCUGUGGUUAGCAGGUUCAAAUGGGGUUGCUCACACGGCCGAGGCGGGGGCCUU